CCAGACAGCCAGGAUGUUGGCUUAGAAGCAGCCAUCAUUUAAAGAAAGCGUAAUAGCUCACUGGUCGAGUCGGCCUGCGCGGAAGAUGUAACGGGGCUAAACCAUGCACCGAAGCUGCGGCAGCGACGCUUAUGCGUUGUUGGGUAGGGGAGCGUUCUGUAAGCCUGUGAAGGUGUGCUGUGAGGCAUGCUGGAGGUAUCAGAAGUGCGAAUGCUGACAUAAGUAACGAUAAAGCGGGUGAAAAGCCCGCUCGCCGGAAGACCAAGGGUUCCUGUCCAACGUUAAUCGGGGCAGGGUGAGUCGACCCCUAAGGCGAGGCCGAAAGGCGUAGUCGAUGGGAAACAGGUUAAUAUUCCUGUACUUGGUGUUACUGCGAAGGGGGGACGGAGAAGGCUAUGUUGGCCGGGCGACGGUUGUCCCGGUUUAAGCGUGUAGGCUGGUUUUCCAGGCAAAUCCGGAAAAUCAAGGCUGAGGCGUGAUGACGAGGCACUACGGUGCUGAAGCAACAAAUGCCCUGCUUCCAGGAAAAGCCUCUAAGCAUCAGGUAACAUCAAAUCGUACCCCAAACCGACACAGGUGGUCAGGUAGAGAAUACCAAGGCGCUUGAGAGAACUCGGGUGAAGGAACUAGGCAAAAUGGUGCCGUAACUUCGGGAGAAGGCACGCUGAUAUGUAGGUGAAGUCCCUCGCGGAUGGAGCUGAAAUCAGUCGAAGAUACCAGCUGGCUGCAACUGUUUAUUAAAAACACAGCACUGUGCAAACACGAAAGUGGACGUAUACGGUGUGACGCCUGCCCGGUGCCGGAAGGUUAAUUGAUGGGGUUAGC
rnacentral:rRNA from 1 species